rnacentral:rRNA from 1 species
UACGGAGGGUGCAAGCGUUAGUCGGAAUUACUGGGCGUAAAGGGUGCGUAGGCGGGGAUUUAAGUCAGAUGUGAAAUACCGUUGCUCAACAACGGCCGUGCAUCUGAAACUGCAUUUCUCGAGGGAUAGCGGAGAAAACGGAAUUCCACGUGUAGCGGUGAAAUGCGUAGAUAUGUGGAAGAACACCUGUGGCGAAAGCGGUUUUCUAGCUUACCCCUGACGCUGAGGCACGAAAGCAAGGGGAGCAAACAGG